rnacentral:tRNA from 1 species
GUGGUAGUGGCUCAGAGGUAGAGUCGCCUAGCAUGCAUGAGGCACUGGGUUCAAUCCUCAGCACCACA